UUGAAUGACAGGAAUUGCUUUACGAUCAUAAUGAUCGUCAGGAUGAGCCCCAUAAUCGCCUGUUAUCCAGAAGCUCUCACAUCUUGAAUGCCACCGGACAUUUCGCUUCCCAGAGCAAUGACUGCACUACUAGGUGAUAUGCAGGUGAGGUUUCUUAUGAUUAGGUGCUUUGUAGGCAUUCCAAAUGCUAUCCCAUAUUCAUCAUAGCCACUUUUCACUGCUAUGCAAUCAUCCCCUGACACUAUGUAGCAAUCUUCAAUUCUUGUGUUGGAACAAGAAUCUGCACAACCAAUAAAUGAAUUAGUAACUACUUCACUAGGGGAUGUCAUCGAUCUUCUCAUCCCUUAAUUA